CAUCAUGUAAAGCAUUUUGCUGCUUAAGGGGAAGAACAAGAUGAAAAUGCCUGCCUCUUCCAUGUACAAAAGGUAACUGGAUGAGCAAUUUAAUUGUUCUUCAACAUGAGGCGGUUAUUUUCUGCUGCAUAUUAAAGCAGCAGAGCUGGAAUGUUAUUUUUAACAUUAUUUUAAUCAUUACUGGUUCCUGUUAAAGUGGUCACAUACAAAAUUACUUUUUACUAACUCAUUACUGCUAUUGCAGCUGUUUUGUGCUUUUACACUAUACAGUUGAGUCUCUUAUCCAUCCUUCACUCAUCCAACAUUCUGUAUUAUCCAAUGCAGUCUGCCUCCCACCCAGAUCCACAGCUGUUUCUCUUUUUAAAAAAUCUUCACAGGACUGAACUUUUUAGGGAUUUAACUUCCAACAAUGUUGUUAUGAUUCUCUUCUCUGUACAUGGAUUCAGUGGCCCUUUGAAGGCAAUGAUAAGGCUGAUGUGGUCCUCCAUGAAAGAUUGUCUUUGGUCCCAAACUAUGAAAAAGGCAAGAAAUAUAAAACCUGCAAUUCUGGAAUAUGCAGAAAAAAAGAAAGAAAGAAAGAAAGAAAGAAAGAAAGAAAGAGAAAGAGAAAGAGAAAGAGAAAGAGAAAGAGAAAGAGAAAGAGAAAGAGAAAGAGAAAAAGAGAAAGAA